rnacentral:rRNA from 1 species
CCUACGGGCGGCAGCAGUGGGGAAUAUUGCACAAUGGGGGAAACCCUGAUGCAGCGACGCCGCGUGAGUGAAGAAGUAAUUCGUUAUGUAAAGCUCUAUCAGCAGGGAAGAAAAUGACGGUACCUGAGUAAGAAGCCCCGGCUAACUACGUGCCAGCAGCCGCGGUAAUACGUAGGGGGCAAGCGUUAUCCGGAUUUACUGGGUGUAACGGGAGCGUAGACGGCAGUGCAAGUCAGGAGUGAAAGGCGGGGGCUCAACCACCGGACUGCUCUUGAAACUGUACGGCUUGAGUGCAGGAGAGGUAAGUGGAAUUCCGAGUGUAGCGGUGAAAUGCGUAGAUAUUAGGAGGAACACCAGUGGCGAAGGCGGCUUACUGGACUGUAACUGACGUUGAGGCUCGAAAGCGUGGGGAGCAAACAGGAUUAGAUACCCCGGUAGUC